AUUGAACGCUGGCGGCAGGCCUAACACAUGCAAGUCGAGCGAGCGGCGGACGGGUGAGGAAUGUAUGGGGACUGCCCGAUAGAGGGGGAUAACUACUGGAAAAGGUUGCUAAUACCGCAUACUAUCGGAUAACCCAUAUGGGAUUAGCUAGUAGGUGAGGUAAUGGCUCACCUAGGCGACGAUCCUUAGCUGGUCUGAGAGGAUGAUCAGCCACACUGGGACUGAGACACGGCCCAGACUCCUACGGAGGCAGCAGUGGGGAAUAUUGCGCAAUGGACGAAAGCCUGAUGCAGCCAUGCCGCGUGAAUGAAGAAGGCCUUAGGUUUGUAAAACUCUGUCGUUCGGGAGGCGUUAUCGACCCAAGAAGCCCCGGCUAACUCAGUGCCAGCAGCCGCGGUAAUUC
rnacentral:rRNA from 1 species